CAGGGUGCAGUGAGGACGAUGCAGGGCACGGCUGGUGGCAUGGAGGAAUGAGUAGUUUCAAUUUAUAAACAGCAGUAACAGGGAGGAAGUUUCACCAAGGGUCUACAACUUGGAGAAAGAAUGGAAUAACUGCGUAUCUUUUCAAGUACAUCUCAGUGUGUAUGGUUUUUGUAAUAAGAUCUAUAGCACUAUUUUUCUGUGAGAAAUAAGUAUACAUCAGUCUGAAGAAAUAAUAAAUAGAGAAUCCCUUGUAUCUGUUUAUAAAGU
rnacentral:lncRNA from 1 species